rnacentral:rRNA from 1 species
UGGAGCAUGUGUUAAUUCGAAGCAACGCGAAGAACCUUACCAGGCCUUGACAUGCAGAGAACUUUCCAGAGAUGGAUUGGUGCCUUCGGGAACGUCUGACACAGGUGCUGCAUGGCUGUCGUCAGCUCGUGCGUGAGAUGUUGGGUUAAGUCCGUAACGAGCGCAACCCUUGUCCUUAGUUACCAGCACGUUAUGGUGGGCACUCUAAGGAGACUGCCGGUGACAACCGGAGGAAGGUGGGGAUGACGUCAAGUCAUCAUGGCCCUUACGGCCUGGGCUACACACGUGCUACAAUGGUCGGUACAAAGGGUUGCCAAGCCGCGAGGUGGAGCUAAUCCCAUAAAACCGAUCGUAGUCCGGAUCGCAGUCUGCAACUCGACUGCGUGAAGUCGGAAUCGCUAGUAAUCGUGAAUCAGAAUGUCACGGUGAAUACGUUCCCGGGCCUU